AGCAGAUGGAUGAUAAUAGUCAUGGCGUGGCACCCCGAGUGGAUGAAAUCAUGGCAUCCCUUCGUGACCUCCCGGAAAUGAUUAAAUUAAUGAAGGAGUGUGUGGAGUGUGUCAAGGCAUUAAUGCCCUUGGCCGGGGGCACCCCUUCAUCUGCGAUGUCAUCGUCAUCUCUUUCUGUGGAAAGUGACAUUGAAAUGCACCACUUGGCUGGCAGCACAGUGACAGUUCAAAGAGGGCCUUCCUGCGGCUAAGCCGAACUCGCAUGACCAUUUUUGCCCAGGAGCUGGCUGUCCUGGUGUUCACAAAAGAGGUCCUUGCACAGUCCACUCUGACUGGGAAGUCUGGGAAAGGGGGGGCGCCAAAAGGACAGCUGGACGUUGACAAAGUGCGGGCCAUAACAGAUGCUGUUCUUCUGGAGUUUCCUCAGACUAGUGCCUCUGAUGUGCGGGCGGCCAUCAGACGCAAGUGUAAUAAUGAGCAGUUCAGCCAAAAAAAAGAAAAGUAAAAUGUAGUACCUGUUUCUU